UACGUAGGGGGCGAGCGUUGUCCGGAAUUAUUGGGCGUAAAGAGCGUGUAGGCGGUUCGGUAAGUCUGCCGUGAAAACCUGGGGCUCAACCCCGGGCGUGCGGUGGAUACUGCCGGGCUAGGGGGUGGUAGAGGCGAGUGGAAUUCCGGGUGUAGUGGUGAAAUGCGUAGAGAUCCGGAGGAACACCAGUGGCGAAGGCGACACGCUGGGCCGUACCUGACACUGAUGCGCGACAGCAUGGGGAGCAAACAGG
rnacentral:rRNA from 1 species